UAGGGAAUCUUCCGCAAUGGGCGAAAGCUUGGCGGAGCAACGCCGCGUGAGUGAUGAAGGUCUUCGGAUCGUAAAACUCUGUUAUUAGGGAAGAACAAAUGUGUAAGUAACUAUGCACGUCUUGACGGUACCUAAUCAGAAAGCCACGGCUAACUACGUGCCAGCAGCCGCGGUAAUACGUAGGUGGCAAGCGUUAUCCGGAAUUAUUGGGCGUAAAGCGCGCGUAGGCGGUUUUUUAAGUCUGAUGUGAAAGCCCACGGCUCAACCGUGGAGGGUCAUUGGAAACUGGAAAACUUGAGUGCAGAAGAGGAAAGUGGAAUUCCAUGUGUAGCGGUGAAAUGCGCAGAGAUAUGGAGGAACACCAGUGGCGAAGGCGACUUUCUGGUCUGUAACUGACGCUGAUGUGCGAAAGCGUGGGGAUCAAACAGG
rnacentral:rRNA from 1 species